UCUUCUUUUUAAUCUUCUUGCUUGUCUUCUUUUUUAUUCAUGGAGCAUGUGUCUCCAUUUAAUCCUCCUUAGCCUGACCCUUGGUAUAAGCUGGACGAUUUCUCUCCCCUGUGACUGAUGAUUCUUUCUCCACAGGACUUUCACAGUGUUCUGGAGGAGGAUGCUCCCUGCGUCUUGCCAAGUGUUCGGGCAGACAGCACCCAGAGAGGAAAUUGGGACACAGAGGAAAAGAGAGGUGCAUUUACCCGCAUUUUCAGUAAACUUACCCAAUAGGAGAAGAUAAGCCUUCCCUCGUGGACCUCGUUGAAGCUCCUGGAUUGGACAGUCCCAGGAGUGACCCUUGCUGUGUCAGCCUUUCUACGCAUGAUCAGUUUGCUGUGAUCUAUGGAAAACUCCCACC